rnacentral:tRNA from 3 species
GCGGAUAUGGCGAAAUAGGCAGACGCAGGAGACUCAAACUCUCCGGAGGAAACUCAUAUGGGUUCAAGUCCCAUUAUCCGUA